GACGAACGCUGGCGGCGUGCUUAACACAUGCAAGUCGAACGGUAAGGCUCCAGAUUGCUGGGGUACACGAGUGGCGAACGGGUGAGUAACACGUGGGUGACCUGCCCUGCACUUCGGGAUAAGCCUGGGAAACUGGGUCUAAUACCGGAUAGGACCAUGGUGUGGAUACUGUGGUGGAAAGUUUUUUCGGCGUGGGAUGGGCCCGCGGCCUAUCAGCUUGUUGGUGGGGUAAUGGCCUACCAAGGCGGCGACGGGUAGCCGGCCUGAGAGGGUGGACGGCCACAUUGGGACUGAGACACGGCCCAGACUCCUACGGGAGGCAGCAGUGGGGAAUAUUGCACAAUGGGCGGAAGCCUGAUGCAGCGACGCCGCGUGGGGGAUGACGGCCUUCGGGUUGUAAACUCCUUUCACCAUCGACGAAGGGUUUCUGACGGUAGAUGGAGAAGAAGCACCGGCUAACUACGUG
rnacentral:rRNA from 1 species